UACGGGGGGAGCAAGCGUUGUUCGGAUUUACUGGGCGUAAAGGGCGCGUAGGCGGCCAGCACAAGUCAGUUGUGAAAUCUCCGAGCUUAACUCGGAACGGUCAACUGAUACUGUGCGGCUAGAGUGCGGAAGGGGCAACUGGAAUUCUUGGUGUAGCGGUGAAAUGCGUAGAUAUCAAGAGGAACACCUGCGGCGAAGGCGGGUUGCUGGGCCGAUACUGACGCUGAUGCGCGAAAGCUAGGGGAGCAAACGGG
rnacentral:rRNA from 1 species